ACUCCAAGAAGAGGCUAGCAGUUACCAAAGGGAAGGGCGUGGAGAGGCUGUUGAAAUAAUUAAUGACACUCUGAGCCCCAUCAAGAUUUGGAGAUGUUUCAAAUACCCAGGACAAUGCUAUCCACGGCCCCUCUGGGUACUGAGGUGACAGUACCUGCACAGAGGAUCGGUGGCCCAAGAGGAGACUUCCUGGCUGGCGUAGAGCACCUCGACUCCACAAACCCAACGAACCAACAGAGAGGAGGGUCAGCAGCCCACUGGACACGCAGGGACUUCAGCCGGGAUUCUUGGGGUCCUGAGCUAUCUUCGCCUGGUGAGGAGGGCCCCAUUUGCACAACACUGGAAAGAGGAACCUGUGGUCCUUAUUUUUCAUGUGCCCUGCCCCACAUGGAUUUCCCACUCAUCCUGCCUGGCCCUGUGCCCUGGGAGGCUAACCUGUGCAGACUGCCCUCCCCAGCCUCCCUUGCUGCCUGUCUUCUUCUCAGUUUGGCCAGUGAGGAUCACUGACAUGAUGCUGGAAGGUAAUGAGAAGAGAGCUCAAGUGCUGCAGUCAAAACAUAUAAAAAAAAAAAACGCUGGAUUCCUGGAUUACAGACAUUCCCCUCAGCUCCCUGGUGAUCCUCGGAGCAGAAGCUCCCUUCCUGUCCUGGCUGCCGGCCCUGCUCACAGCUGUUCCCGGGUGGAAGAAAUUAAGAACCUCUGCCUUGCUUUCCAGGAGCUUUUUCCCUUGGAUUCAUGUUCUGCAAUCCUUCCUCUCCCCACGUCCCUCCCUCUGCUACCCGCCUGCUCCCCCCAUCAGACUUUGAGAUUAGAACAACUAGCCUGCCUGAAAUCCUAUUUGGUACAAUAAUGUCUCCAUGUCUUUAAUUUUUUUCCAAGUUUUUCUAAUCUAAGGUCCAGUGUCUUUCUGACAAAGAGAACAUUCAGAGAACUAAUUUCUAUUUCACAUGUUCACAAUAUAAUGUGAUGCUCUGCCCCCAAUGCUUACUGCAUUAUGCUUUCACUAAAUAUACUCACAGCUGCCAAUUUUCAUGUGCCUCUUAACACUUGGAAUUGGAAUGCUGCCUUUAAUAGAACUCACCACUUUCCCCAAGUUAAUAUCCACUUACCACUCUAGAUGAGAAGGGGGUCUUUAAUUUCCACAAACUGGGGGCAGAUUCCUGCCCUGUAAACCCCUCUGGGACAUAAGUUCAUUCACUCCUUAGGGAGAAAUAAAGACAUAUCUAUGUGCUCUGUUC